UACGUAGGGGGCAAGCGUUGUCCGGAAUUAUUGGGCGUAAAGAGCUUGUAGGCGGUCUGUCGCGUCUGCUGUGAAAAUCCGGGGCUCAACCCCGGACUUGCAGUGGGUACGGGCAGACUAGAGUGUGGUAGGGGAGACUGGAAUUCCUGGUGUAGCGGUGAAAUGCGCAGAUAUCAGGAGGAACACCAAUGGCGAAGGCAGCUCGCUGGGACGGUACUGACGCUGAGGCGCGAAAGCGUGGGGAGCAAACAGG
rnacentral:rRNA from 1 species